rnacentral:rRNA from 1 species
AUACGGAGGGUGCAAGCGUUGUUCGGAAUUAUUGGGCGUAAAGCGCGCGCAGGCGGCUUGCCAAGUCUGAUGUGAAAGCCCGGGGCUCAACCUCGGAACUGCAUUGGAAACUGGUAGGCUUGAGUAUGAGAGGGGUUUGUGGAAUUCCUGGUGUAGGGGUGAAAUCCGUAGAUAUCAGGAGGAACACCGGUGGCGAAGGCGACAAACUGGAUCAUUACUGACGCUGAGGUGCGAAAGCGUGGGGAGCAAACAGGAUUAGAAACCCCUGUAGUCC